rnacentral:rRNA from 1 species
ACUGCUCAGUAACACGUGGAUAACCUGCCCUUGGGUCCGGCAUAACCCCGGGAAACUGGGGAUAAUUCCGGAUAACGCAUAUAUGCUGGAAUGCUUUCUGCGUAAAAUGGAUUCGUCUGCCCAAGGAUGGGUCUGCGGCCUAUCAGGUAGUAGUGGGUGUAAUGUACCUACUAGCCUACGACGGGUACGGGUUGUGAGAGCAAGAGCCCGGAGAUGGAUUCUGAGACAUGAAUCCAGGCCCUACGGGGCGCAGCAGGCGCGAAAACUUUACAAUGCGGGAAACCGUGAUAAGGGGACACCGAGUGCCAGCAUCAUAUGCUGGCUGUCCGGGUGUGUAAAAUACACCUGUUAGCAAGGGCCGGGCAAGACCGGUGCCAGCCGCCGCGGUAACACCGGCGGCCCGAGUGGUGAUCGUGAUUAUUGGGUCUAAAGGGUCCGUAGCCGGUUUGGUCAGUCCUCCGGGAAAUCUGACAGCUCAACUGUUAGGCUUUCGGAGGAUACUGCCAGACUUGGAACCGGGAGAGGUAAGAGGUACUACAGGGGUAGGAGUGAAAUCUUGUAAUCCCUGUGGGACCACCUGUGGCGAAGGCGUCUUACCAGAACGGGUUCGACGGUGAGGGACGAAAGCUGGGGGCACGAACCGGAUUAGAUACCCGGGUAGUCCCAGCCGUAAACGAUGCUCGCUAGGUGUCAGGCAUGGCGCGACCGUGUCUGGUGCCGCAGGGAAGCCGUGAAGCGAGCCACCUGGGAAGUACGGCCGCAAGGCUGAAACUUAAAGGAAUUGGCGGGGGAGCAC